GACAGAGGGGGCAAGCGUUGCUCGGAAUUACUGGGCGUAAAGGGCGCGUAGGCGGGAUGGCAAGUCGGUCGUGAAAUCCUUCGGCUCAACCGAAGAACGUCGGCCGAUACUGCCGUUCUUGAGGGAUGCAGAGGAGAUUGGAAUUCCCGGUGUAGCGGUGAAAUGUGUAGAGAUCGGGAGGAACACCGGUGGCGAAGGCGGGUCUCUGGGCCUGUACUGACGCUGAGGAACGAAAGCGUGGGGAGCGAACAGG
rnacentral:rRNA from 1 species